CAAAGGCAUGGUCCUGACCUUAUUAUCAGCUCUUACCCGACUUACACAUGCAAGUCUCCGCAAUCCCGUGAGUAUGCCCUCAAUCCCCUGCCCGGGGACGAGGAGCGGGCAUCAGGCACAAAUUUUAGCCCAAGACGCCUGGCCAAGCCACACCCCCAAGGGAAUUCAGCAGUGAUAAACAUUAAGCCAUAAGUGAAAACUUGACUCAGUCAAGGUAAAGAGGGCCGGUAAAACUCGUGCCAGCCACCGCGGUUAAACGAGAGGCCCUAGUUGAUAAAACCACGGCGUAAAGGGUGGUUAAGGAAAGCAAAACAAAUUAAAGCCAAAUGGCCCUUUGGCCGUCAUACGCUUCUAGGUGUCCGAAGCCCAAUUAUACGAAAGUAGCUUUAUAAAGCCCACC
rnacentral:rRNA from 1 species